GACGAACGCUGGCGGCGUGCUUAACACAUGCAAGUCGAACGGAAAGGCCCUGCUUUUAGGGCACUCGCGUGGCGAACGGGUGAGUAACACGUGGGUGAUCUGCCCUGCUCUUCGGGAUAAGCCUGGUAAACAGGGUGUAAUACCGGAUAGGAGCCAUUUUUAGCGUGAUGGUUGGAAAGUUUUUUCGGUGUUUGAUGAGAUCGCUGCCUAUCAGCUUGUCGGGGGGGGUAUGGCCUACCAAAGCGGCUACGGGUAGCCGGCCUGAGAGGGUGGACUGCCACAUUGGGACUGAGGGGCGGCCCCGGCACCUAAGGGGGGGAGCAGUGGGGAAUCUUGACCAAUCGGCGCCAGGCGGAUGAAGCGACGCUGCGUAGCGGAGGACGGCCUUAGGGUUGAAAAACAAUUUCGCUAGUAACGAAGCUUUUUGUGACGGUACCUAGACAAGAAGCCCCGGCUAACUACGUG
rnacentral:rRNA from 1 species